UCACUUUUACACCCACGUUUUGGUAGUUUUCGUAAAGGAACAGUUUUAUUCCUGACAGAAGCUGGUACAUGCUGUUUUAUUCUCUCACCCAACCUUUGAGAAGUCCUACCUACAUAGCGAGCAUCGCGUUUAAAUGUGAGUGUGAUCAUAAAAUGCUACUUUUGGUGCUAGGAGACCGCCAAAGCUCUUGUCUGACUCAUAUGCCUUGAAGUAGCAAAGCAGAUUUCUGCUAUCAUCAAGUUGGUCUGUGACCAUAACUGACUCACAUAUGGAACACUUGUGCUUUUCAAAAUAUUUCUGGAAUGGAGAAAUCAAACAGGAAUGCUUGAGUCAGCUUUGCAGAAUUGUGCGGUAAUAUAUGAAAUUAUAAUAUGAAGAAUUGUGCAGUAAUAUAUGAAAUUAUAAUAAUGAUAUUACAUGAUAGUAGUUGCUAUCAUGUAACAGACAUUAAUUAAUGUUUGAGUCCACAGCUGAUGUUAUGUAAAGUUUGCAAGAAGUACUUGUAAAUUGUGUUUUCCAUAUACCACUUCCACUUUGAAUUAUCAUAUUUAGGAACAAACUGUAGGAACAAACUACUAUUACAGAUAAAGCAUAAACAAUCAUCAAUUGAGCAAUGUUGAGUAUUGUUUGAGUUUACAAGGAAAAUAAAAUAUGAGCAUAGGUUUUCAAGACAAUUCACAAAAUUAAAGAUCAUUGCUUUUAAUUCUCAGGACAGUUCUGCCAUACAGUUUAUAUUUAUUUCUAGUAAAAAACUACAGCAGAAGGAUUCUAUUAAAAUAAAAUAAAUAGUGGAAAUUUGGUCUAUGAGAUUUACUGCAAGAAUACAUUACUCAACUACCAACUAUUGCUACAACACACAGCAUAGAUGCCAUUUGUCAUGGUCAAAGUUGUUUUUUAGUCCAACUAAGAUUUAUUUGUAUACCAAAGGUAAGUAAUAAAUUAUCUUAUCAUUCAAUUAGCUCAUGUCUGUCUUUGUAAUUGACCAAAAUUUAAACAACAGUACAAUACUUCAGUUCAGCCAGUGUGUAUGCUCUUAUGCAAUUCACUAUUUCUCAGAUACAUUAUAAUGGUAUAUGAUCAUUUACAAGAUUAAUAUAUCGUAUAUUUAUCUACCUAACCACUGAUAAAAUGUUAAUUACAUGUUCAAUAAAACUAUAACUAUAUAGAA